AUGUACGUCGUGAAGCGGGACGGGCGGACGGAGACGGUGCACUUCGACAAGAUCACGGCGCGGCUCAAGAAGCUCAGCUACGGGCUCAGCCAGGAGCACUGCGACCCGGUGCUGGUCGCGCAGAAGGUCUGCGCGGGGGUAUACAAGGGCGUCACCACCAGCCAGCUCGACGAGCUCGCCGCCGAGACCGCCGCCGCGCUCACUGCCUCCCACCCCGACUAUGCCUCCCUCGCGGCGAGGAUUGCGGUGUCCAACCUCCACAAGAACACCAAGAAGUCCUUCUCCGAGACGAUUAAGGACAUGUACCUGCACUACAACGAGAGAUCUGGGCUGCUGUCUCCGCUGAUUGCCGAGGAUAUCUACGAAGUCAUCAUGAAGAACGCUGCUCGCUUGGACAGCGAGAUAAUUUACGACAGGGACUUUGAUUAUGACUACUUCGGUUUCAAGACUCUGGAGAGGUCUUACCUCCUGAAGCUCGGUGGAGUUGUUGUUGAAAGGCCGCAGCACAUGUUAAUGAGAGUUUCAGUAGGGAUCCACAAGGAUGACAUUGACUCUGCCAUCAGAACUUACCAUCUCAUGUCCCAGCGCUGGUUUACUCAUGCUUCGCCAACCCUUUUCAAUGCUGGCACCCCGAGACCUCAGUUGAGCAGCUGUUUCCUUAUCUGCAUGAAAGAUGAUAGCAUCGAGGGAAUCUAUGAUACUCUGAAGGAAUGUGCUGUCAUCAGCAAAUCUGCUGGAGGGAUUGGCGUCUCUGUUCACAACAUUCGUGCUACUGGGAGUUACAUCCGAGGAACAAAUGGAACAUCCAAUGGAAUUGUUCCUAUGUUACGUGUCUUCAAUGAUACUGCUCGUUAUGUAGAUCAAGGUGGAGGCAAGAGAAAGGGUGCUUUUGCUGUAUACCUGGAGCCCUGGCAUGCUGAUAUUUUCGAGUUCCUUGAUUUGAGGAAGAACCAUGGGAAGGAGGAGAACCGCGCAAGGGAUCUUUUCUUUGCUCUCUGGGUUCCUGAUCUAUUCAUGCAAAGAGUACAAAAUAAUGAGGAUUGGUCCCUGUUUUGUCCAAAUGAAGCUCCGGGGUUGGCUGAUUGCUGGGGUGAGAAGUUUGAGGAAUUGUACAAGAAAUAUGAGAAAGCAGGCAAAGCAAAAAAGGUUAUUCCAGCACAGACCCUCUGGUUUGACAUUUUGAAGGCACAGAUAGAAACUGGCACACCUUAUAUGCUCUAUAAGGAUUCAUGCAAUAGGAAAAGUAACCAGCAGAAUCUGGGCACAAUCAAAUCUUCAAACUUGUGCACUGAGAUAAUUGAGUUCACAAGUCCUGAGGAAACUGCUGUCUGCAACCUAGCAUCUAUUGCUUUACCACGUUUUGUAAGGGAAAAGGGUGUCCCAAUAGAGUCCCAUCCAUCUAAGCUUGCUGGUAGCAAUGGAUCAAAAAAUAGAUACUUUGACUUUGACAAGCUAGGCGAGGUUACUUCAACUGUUACUUUCAAUCUAAACAAAAUAAUCGAUAUGAAUUAUUAUCCGGUUGAAACUGCAAGGAGGUCUAAUAUGCGACACAGGCCAAUUGGUAUUGGGGUUCAGGGCUUGGCAGACACAUUCAUGUUACUUGGCAUGGCAUUUGAUUCACCUGAGGCUCAGCAAUUGAAUAGGGAUAUUUUUGAAACUAUUUACUACCAUGCUCUGAAAGCUUCUGCUGAACUGGCGGCUAAAGAAGGCCCUUAUGAAACAUAUGAAGGGAGCCCUGUCAGCAAGGGUAUUAUCCAACCUGACAUGUGGAAUGUAGUGCCAUCGACCAGAUGGAACUGGCCAACUUUGAGGGAAACUAUUUCCAAAGUUGGAGUAAGAAACUCUCUUCUGGUGGCUCCAAUGCCCACAGCUUCCACUAGUCAGAUUCUUGGCAACAAUGAGUGCUUUGAACCCUACACAUCUAACAUAUACAGUCGGCGGGUUCUAAGUGGGGAGUUUGUUGUGGUUAACAAGCAUCUUCUCCAUGACUUGACUGAGAUGGGUAUCUGGACACCUGCUCUGAAAAAUAAGAUAAUUUAUGAAGAUGGUUCUAUUCAGAAGAUGGAAGAAAUCCCUGAUGAUCUUAAAGCAAUUUACAAGACUGUUUGGGAGAUUAAGCAGAAAACUCUGGUUGACAUGGCUGUUGAUCGUGGAUGCUACAUCGACCAGAGCCAGAGCCUUAAUGUCCACAUGGAUCAACCAAACUUUGCAAAGCUAACUUCGUUGCAUUUCCAUGCUUGGUCCAAGGGCCUGAAAACUGGGAUGUACUAUUUGAGAACAAGGGCAGCUGCUGAUGCAAUCAAGUUUACUGUGGAUACUGGCUUUCUGAAGGUCAAUGGGGAUGCUAAUGGCACUAAUGGAACCAAUGGCAAACUAGCAGAGGAAGACGACGAAGCCAAAAUGGCGCAAGUUGUUUGCUCCUUGAACAACCGGGAAGAGUGCCUGGCAUGCGGGAGUUAG
rnacentral:rRNA from 1 species